rnacentral:rRNA from 1 species
GACGAACGCUGGCGGCGUGCCUAAUACAUGCAAGUUGAGCGCUGAAGGUUGGUACUUGUACCCACUGGAUGAGCAGCGAACGGGUGAGUAACGCGUGGGGAAUCUGCCUUUGAGCGGGGGACAACAUUUGGAAACGAAUGCUAAUACCGCAUAAAAACUUUAAACACAAGUUUUAAGUUUGAAAGAUGCAAUUGCAUCACUCAAAGAUGAUCCCGCGUUGUAUUAGCUAGUUGGUGAGGUAAAGGCUCACCAAGGCGAUGAUACGUAGCCGACCUGAGAGGGUGAUCGGCCACAUUGGGACUGAGACACGGCCCAAACUCCUACGGGAGGCAGCAGUAGGGAAUCUUCGGCAAUAGACGAAAGUCUGACCGAGCAACGCCGCGUGAGUGAAGAAGGUUGUCGGAUCGUAAAACUCUGUUGGUAGAGAAGAACGUUGGUGAGAGUGGAAAGCUCAUCAAGUGACGGUAACUACCCAGAAAGGGACGGCUAACUACGUG